UGGGGAAUAUUGCACAAUGGGGGAAACCCUGAUGCAGCGACGCCGCGUGAAGGAAGAAGUAUCUCGGUAUGUAAACUUCUAUCAGCAGGGAAGAAUUAGGACGGUACCUGACUAAGAAGCCCCGGCUAACUACGUGCCAGCAGCCGCGGUAAUACGUAGGGGGCAAGCGUUAUCCGGAUUUACUGGGUGUAAAGGGAGCGUAGACGGAUGGACAAGUCUGAUGUGAAAGGCUGGGGCUCAACCCCGGGACUGCAUUGGAAACUGCCCGUCUUGAGUGCCGGAGAGGUAAGCGGAAUUCCUAGUGUAGCGGUGAAAUGCGUAGAUAUUAGGAGGAACACCAGUGGCGAAGGCGGCUUACUGGACGGUAACUGACGUUGAGGCUCGAAAGCGUGGGGAGCAAACAGG
rnacentral:rRNA from 2 species